CGCAUCUUGCGCUCUUGGGUUAUUCCUAAGAGCAUGCUUGUUUGAGUAACAGAAAAGCUCAACCCCGUCACGGUCUUUUGAUAGUGAUAGUAUAGGGUGUGGAUCAUGGCAGUCUGUCAAGCCUCGACUCUGCCGAAAGAUAAGCAGCCGAACUUUGAGUUGUGCGCUGACACUAUUGUUGUAAUACUUCGGUUUCAAUAGUUAUGCACUGUGCUCUUGUAAACUGUAGGCUUUGAAUCAAAAAACAAACUUUUUAAAGCUUGUUCUCAAAUCAAGUAGGACUACCCGCUGAACUUAA
rnacentral:misc_RNA from 1 species